ACUAUCGUUAACUGAAUACAUAGGUUAACGAGGCGAACCGGGGGAACUGAAACAUCUAAGUACCCCGAGGAAAAGAAAUCAACCGAGAUUCCCCCAGUAGCGGCGAGCGAACGGGGAGCAGCCCAGAGUCUGAAUCAGCUUGUGUGUUAGUGGAACGGUCUGGAAAGUCCGACGGUACAGGGUGAUAGUCCCGUACACCAAAAUGCACAGGUUGUGAACUCGAAGAGUAGGGCGGGACACGUGGUAUCCUGUCUGAAUAUGGGGGGACCAUCCUCCAAGGCUAAAUACUCCUGACUGACCGAUAGUGAACCAGUACCGUGAGGGAAAGGCGAAAAGAACCCCGGCGAGGGGAGUGAAAAAGAACCUGAAACCGUGUACGUACAAGCAGUGGGAGCACCUUCGGGUGUGACUGCGUACCUUUUGUAUAAUGGGUCAGCGACUUAUAUUCUGUAGCAAGGUUAACCGUAUAGGGGAGCCGCAGGGAAACCGAGUCUUAACUGGGCGUUAAGUUGCAGGGUAUAGACCCGAAACCCGGUGAUCUAGCCAUGGGCAGGUUGAAGGUUGGGUAACACUAACUGGAGGACCGAACCGACUAAUGUUGAAAAAUUAGCGGAUGACUUGUGGCUGGGGGUGAAAGGCCAAUCAAACCGGGAGAUAGCUGGUUCUCCCCGAAAGCUAUUUAGGUAGCGCCUCGUGAAUUCAUCUUCGGGGGUAGAGCACUGUUUCGGCUAGGGGGUCAUCCCGACUUACCAACCCGAUGCAAACUACGAAUACCGAAGAAUGUUAUCACGGGAGACACACGGCGGGUGCUAACGUCCGUCGUGAAGAGGGAAACAACCCAGACCGCCAGCUAAGGUCCCAAAGUCAUGGUUAAGUGGGAAACGAUGUGGGAAGGCACAGACAGCCAGGAUGUUGGCUUAGAAGCAGCCAUCAUUUAAAGAAAGCGUAAUAGCUCACUGGUCGAGUCGGCCUGCGCGGAAGAUGUAACGGGGCUAAACCAUGCACCGAAGCUGCGGCAGCGACACUAUGUGUUGUUGGGUAGGGGAGCGUUCUGUAAGCCUGCGAAGGUGUGCUGUGAGGCAUGCUGGAGGUAUCAGAAGUGCGAAUGCUGACAUAAGUAACGAUAAAGCGGGUGAAAAGCCCGCUCGCCGGAAGACCAAGGGUUCCUGUCCAACGUUAAUCGGGGCAGGGUGAGUCGACCCCUAAGGCGAGGCCGAAAGGCGUAGUCGAUGGGAAACAGGUUAAUAUUCCUGUACUUGGUGUUACUGCGAAGGGGGGACGGAGAAGGCUAUGUUAGCCGGGCGACGGUUGUCCCGGUUUAAGCAUGUAGGCUGGUUGUCCAGGCAAAUCCGGAUAAUCAAGGCUGAGGUGUGAUGACGAGGCACUACGGUGCUGAAGUAACAAAUGCCCUGCUUCCAGGAAAAGCCUCUAAGCAUCAGGUAACAUCAAAUCGUACCCCAAACCGACACAGGUGGUCAGGUAGAGAAUACCAAGGCGCUUGAGAGAACUCGGGUGAAGGAACUAGGCAAAAUGGUGCCGUAACUUCGGGAGAAGGCACGCUGGUGUGUAGGUGAAGUCCCUGCGGAUGGAGCUGAGACCAGUCGAAGAUACCAGCUGGCUGCAACUGUUUAUUAAAAACACAGCACUGUGCAAACACGAAAGUGGACGUAUACGGUGUGACGCCUGCCCGGUGCCGGAAGGUUAAUUGAUGGGGUUAUCCGUAAGGAGAAGCUCUUGAUCGAAGCCCCGGUAAACGGCGGCCGUAACUAUAACGGUCCUAAGGUAGCGAAAUUCCUUGUCGGGUAAGUUCCGACCUGCACGAAUGGCGUAAUGAUGGCCAGGCUGUCUCCACCCGAGACUCAGUGAAAUUGAACUCGCUGUGAAGAUGCAGUGUACCCGCGGCAAGACGGAAAGACCCCGUGAACCUUUACUAUAGCUUGACACUGAACAUUGAGCCUUGAUGUGUAGGAUAGGUGGGAGGCUUUGAAGCGUGGACGCCAGUCUGCGUGGAGCCAACCUUGAAAUACCACCCUUUAAUGUUUGAUGUUCUAACGUUGGCCCCUUACCGGGGUUGCGGACAGUGUCUGGUGGGUAGUUUGACUGGGGCGGUCUCCUCCCAAAGCGUAACGGAGGAGCACGAAGGUUAGCUAAUCCUGGUCGGACAUCAGGAGGUUAGUGCAAUGGCAUAAGCUAGCUUGACUGCGAGCGUGACGGCGCGAGCAGGUGCGAAAGCAGGUCAUAGUGAUCCGGUGGUUCUGAAUGGAAGGGCCAUCGCUCAACGGAUAAAAGGUACUCCGGGGAUAACAGGCUGAUACCGCCCAAGAGUUCAUAUCGACGGCGGUGUUUGGCACCUCGAUGUCGGCUCAUCACAUCCUGGGGCUGAAGUAGGUCCCAAGGGUAUGGCUGUUCGCCAUUUAAAGUGGUACGCGAGCUGGGUUUAGAACGUCGUGAGACAGUUCGGUCCCUAUCUGCCGUGGGCGCUGGAGAAUUGAGGGGGGCUGCUCCUAGUACGAGAGGACCGGAGUGGACGCAUCACUGGUGUUCGGGUUGUCAUGCCAAUGGCACUGCCCGGUAGCUAAAUGCGGAAGAGAUAAGUGCUGAAAGCAUCUAAGCACGAAACUUGCCCCGAGAUGAGUUCUCCCUGAGACUUUAAGUCUCCUGAAGGAACGUUAAAGACGAUGACGUUGAUAGGCCGGGUGUGUAAGCGCAGCGAUGCGUUGAGCUAACCGGUACUAAUGAACCGUGAGGCUUAACC
rnacentral:rRNA from 1 species